AACGAACGCUGGCGGCAUGCCUAACACAUGCAAGUCGAACGAGACCUUCGGGUCUAGUGGCGCACGGGUGUGUAACGCGUGGGAACCUGCCCUUAGGUUCGGAAUAACUCCCCGAAAGGGGUGCUAAUACCGGAUAAUGUCUUCGGACCAAAGAUUUAUCGCCUUUGGAUGGGCCCGCGUUGGAUUAGCUAGUUGGUAGGGUAAAAGCCUACCAAGGCGACGAUCCAUAGCUGGUCUGAGAGGAUGAUCAGCCACACUGGGACUGAGACACGGCCCAGACUCCUACGGGAGGCAGCAGUGGGGAAUAGUGGACAAUGGGCGAAAGCCUGAUCCAGCAAUGCCGCGUGAGUGAUGAAGGCCUUAGGGUUGUAAAGCUCUUUUACCCGGGAUGAUAAUGACAGUACCGGGAGAAUAAGCUCCGGCUAACUCCGUG
rnacentral:rRNA from 1 species